UCCCCGUUAUCCGAGGCGGUUUCGCCAGAGUGCCCAACUGAAUGAUGGCAACUGACAAUAAGGGUUGCGCUCGUUGCGGGACUUAACCCAACAUCUCACGACACGAGCUGACGACAGCCAUGCAGCACCUGUGUUCCGGCCAGCCGCCUUUCAGCAGCCUUCCGGACAUGUCAAGGGUAGGUAAGGUUUUUCGCGCUGCAUCGAAUUAAUCCACAUAAUCCACCGCUUGUGCGGGUCCCCGUCAAUUCCUUUGAGUUUUAAUCUUGCGGCCGUACUCCCCAGGCGGUCGACUUCACGCGUUAGCUUCGUUACUGAGAGUGUCAAACCCCCAACAACCAGUCGACAUCGUUUAGGGCGUGGACUAC
rnacentral:misc_RNA from 1 species